rnacentral:rRNA from 1 species
GAUGAACGCUGGCGGCGUGCCUAAUACAUGCAAGUCGAGCGAACAGACGAGGAGCUUGCUCCUCUGACGUUAGCGGCGGACGGGUGAGUAACACGUGGAUAACCUACCUAUAAGACUGGGAUAACUUCGGGAAACCGGAGCUAAUACCGGAUAAUAUAUUGAACCGCAUGGUUCAAUAGUGAAAGACGGUUUUGCUGUCACUUAUAGAUGGAUCCGCGCCGCAUUAGCUAGUUGGUAAGGUAACGGCUUACCAAGGCAACGAUGCGUAGCCGACCUGAGAGGGUGAUCGGCCACACUGGAACUGAGACACGGUCCAGACUCCUACGGGAGGCAGCAGUAGGGAAUCCUCCGCAAUGGGCGAAAGCCUGACGGAGCAACGCCGCGUGAGUGAUGAAGGUCCUCGGAUCGUAAAACUCUGUUAUUAGGGAAGAACAAAUGUGUAAGUAACUAUGCACGUCUUGACGGUACCUAAUCAGAAAGCCACGGCUAACUACGUG